rnacentral:rRNA from 1 species
UACAGAGGGAGCGAGCGUUGUUCGGAAUUACUGGGCGUAAAGCGCUCGCAGGUGGUCCGAUGCGUCGUGCGUGAAAGACCCCGGCUCAACUGGGGGGCGUCGUGCGAUACGGUCGGACUGGAGGCCAGUAGGGGGAUGCGGAAUUCCGGGUGUAGUGGUGGAAUGCGUAGAGAUCCGGAGGAACACCAGCGGCGAAGGCGGCAUCCUGGACUGGUCCUGACACUCAUGAGCGAAAGCGUGGGGAGCGAUCCGG